rnacentral:rRNA from 1 species
UACAGAGGGGGCAAGCGUUGUUCGGAAUUACUGGGCGUAAAGGGCGCGUAGGCGGCCUUCUAAGUCGAACGUGAAAUCCCCGGGCUCAACCUGGGGGCUGCGCUUGAUACUGAUUGGCUUGAAUGCGGGAGAGGAUAGUGGAAUUCCCAGUGUAGAGGUGAAAUUCGUAGAUAUUGGGAAGAACACCGGUGGCGAAGGCGGCUAUCUGGCCCGUAAUUGACGCUGAGGCGCGAAAGCGUGGGGGAGCAAACAGG